rnacentral:rRNA from 1 species
UAGCGACAGGCUUAACACAUGCAAGUCGAGGGGCAGCACAGGUAGCAAUACCGGGUGGCGACCGGCGCACGGGUGAGUAACGCGUAUGCAACUUGCCUAUCAGAGGGGGAUAACCCGGCGAAAGUCGGACUAAUACCGCAUGAAGCAGGGAUCCCGCAUGGGAAUAUUUGCUAAAGAUUCAUCGCUGAUAGAUAGGCAUGCGUUCCAUUAGGCAGUUGGCGGGGUAACGGCCCACCAAACCGACGAUGGAUAGGGGUUCUGAGAGGAAGGUCCCCCACAUUGGUACUGAGACACGGACCAAACUCCUACGGGAGGCAGCAGUGAGGAAUAUUGGUCAAUGGCCGAGAGGCUGAACCAGCCAAGUCGCGUGAGGGAUGAAGGUUCUAUGGAUCGUAAACCUCUUUUAUAAGGGAAUAAAGUGCGGGACGUGUCCCGUUUUGUAUGUACCUUAUGAAUAAGGAUCGGCUAACUCCGUGCCAGCAGCCGCGGUAAUACGGAGGAUCCGAGCGUUAUCCGGAUUUAUUGGGUUUAAAGGGUGCGUAGGCGGCCUUUUAAGUCAGCGGUGAAAGUCUGUGGCUCAACCAUAGAAUUGCCGUUGAAACUGGGGGGCUUGAGUAUGUUUGAGGCAGGCGGAAUGCGUGGUGUAGCGGUGAAAUGCAUAGAUAUCACGCAGAACCCCGAUUGCGAAGGCAGCCUGCCAAGCCAUUACUGACGCUGAUGCACGAAAGCGUGGGGAUCAAACAGGAUUAGAUACCCUGGUAGUCCACGCAGUAAACGAUGAUCACUAGCUGUUUGCGAUACAUUGUAAGCGGCACAGCGAAAGCGUUAAGUGAUCCACCUGGGGAGUACGCCGGCAACGGUGAAACUCAAAGGAAUUGACGGGGGCCCGCACAAGCGGAGGAACAUGUGGUUUAAUUCGAUGAUACGCGAGGAACCUUACCCGGGUUUGAACGCAUUCGGACCGAGGUGGAAACACCUUUUCUAGCAAUAGCCGUUUGCGAGGUGCUGCAUGGUUGUCGUCAGCUCGUGCCGUGAGGUGUCGGCUUAAGUGCCAUAACGAGCGCAACCCUUGCCACUAGUUACUAACAGGUGAUGCUGAGGACUCUGGUGGGACUGCCAGCGUAAGCUGCGAGGAAGGCGGGGAUGACGUCAAAUCAGCACGGCCCUUACAUCCGGGGCGACACACGUGUUACAAUGGCGUGGACAAAGGGAGGCCACCUGGCGACAGGGAGCGAAUCCCCAAACCACGUCUCAGUUCGGAUCGGAGUCUGCAACCCGACUCCGUGAAGCUGGAUUCGCUAGUAAUCGCGCAUCAGCCAUGGCGCGGUGAAUACGUUCCCGGGCCUUGUACACACCGCCCGUCAAGCCAUGGGAGCCGGGGGUACCUGAAGUCCGUAACCGCGAGGAUCGGCCUAGGGUAAAACUGGUGACUGGGGCUAAGUCAUAACAA